rnacentral:rRNA from 1 species
UACGGAGGGUGCGAGCGUUGUCCGGAAUCACUGAGCGUAAAGGGCGCGUAGGCGGCUUCUCAAGCGUGUGGUGAAAGUCCGGGGCUCAACCCCGGAUCGGCCGUGCGGACUGGGGAGCUCGAGUUCUGUAGAGGCGGGUGGAAUUCCUGGUGUAGCGGUGAAAUGCGCAGAUAUCAGGAGGAACACCGGUGGCGAAGGCGGGUCUCUGGGCCGAUAUUGACGCUGAGGAGCGAAAGCGUGGGGAGCGAACAGG